GCCUGGGUGGCUCAGCUGGCUGAGCAUCUGACUUCAGCUCAGGUCAUGAACACCCAGUUUGUGGGUUCAAACCCCACGCUGGGCU
rnacentral:tRNA from 1 species